UACAGAGGUCUCAAGCGUUGUUCGGAUUCAUUGGGCGUAAAGGGUGCGUAGGCGGCGCGGUAAGUCGGGUGUGAAAUCUUGGAGCUUAACUCCGAAACUGCAUUCGAUACUGCCGUGCUUUGAGGGACUGGAGAGGAGACUGGAAUUUACGGUGUAGCGGUGAAAAUGCGUAGAUAUCGUAAGGAAGACCAGUGGCGAAGGCGGGGUCUCUGGACA
rnacentral:rRNA from 1 species